AAGGGAAGUCGUAACAAGGUUUCCGUAGGUGAACCUGCGGAAGGAUCAUUGUCGAAACCUGCACCUUGCAGAAUGACCCGCGAACGUGUUUAAAAGAUAGUCGGGUGAAUUUGUGGCUCCGCGCCCCUCAUUCUCCCGGCGCAGCAGACGGGAGGGACUUCGGGCAAGUGCUCGUUCGUCUCUGUCGUCUGCUCAACAACCAACCCCGGCGCAGUACGCGCCAAGGAAUAGAAAAUGAAAAGGGCGUGCUUUUCUUUCGGAAUGCAUUGCCUUCUUUCAAGAAUCAAAAUGACUCUCGGCAACGGAUAUCUCGGCUCUCGCAUCGAUGAAGAACGCAGCAAAAUGCGAUACUUGGUGUGAAUUGCAGAAUCCCGUGAAUCAUCGAGUUUUUGAACGCAAGUUGCGCCCGAAGCCUUUCGGCCAAGGGCACGCCUGCCUGGGUGUCACGCAUACGUCGCCCCAUCCUCUCGACACCUCGGGAGUCAUGGGAGCAGAAGUUGGCCUCCUGUGUGCCUUGCGCAUGUGGCUGGCCCAAAAUGCAUGUUCGCGGNCAAUGAUAGCCAUGACGAUCGGUGGGUGUAAAGACCCUCUGAAAAAGUCGUGCGCUGUUCUUAGCCGUCGGGACAUUCCUUGNACCUAGGGCGUCCUCAGGGCGCGCUCCGACCGCGACCCCAGGUCAGGCGGGACUACCCGCUGAGUUUUAGCAUAUCAAUAAGCGGAAGGGCGAAUUC
rnacentral:rRNA from 1 species